CGACCACGUGUAAGCCCAAAAGAAAAGAAAAGUAACCCAAAUAAGUGCCACAAAGACAAACCGAAAAGAAAUAAAACGGAACGGGGAAAAUCCCACACGGUGGGCGCGCCGAAAAAAUCGGUCGAAAAUUAAUAAUCGUGCGCCGAGAAAACUGGCAAGAAACUACCCUGGCGAAAAGUGCAUAUUUGCCUCGCCUCGCCAGCAAGUGUUGUUCUUGUUGCAAACCCGUGCGUCCCGCAGCUCUGCCAGGAGAACCCAACGCUCGUGUCUCCGUGGAAAAGUCCGAAAAACUGGGCCCUGGCCCCGAGCGGUAGCCACCCGGCUCUCCCCAAAGUUCUGCCCCACCCACACCAAACUCCCACCCUUGACGGGAGUACUCUUCGGAGUCGACCUUGGUGUGGGGCGGAGAUUUUUUGUCCCUUUUGGAGUCGUUGAAGCAUCCACCUGCCCGGCGACAUAACCUCCACCGGCCAUCACCCUGGCGCCAUAUCUAACGUACGCGCAUAGAGGGCAUAGAGGGCAUAGAGAUCACCCCCCCCUAUGCGCCGCUAACUCGCUGUCUGCGACGGCCUAGAAGACGCCGCCACGGAUCCGGACCCAGAUUUCGUAGCAUAGUGUAGUUUUAAUUGUAAUUUUUUUUGGUUCCUUCUGAGCACUUAUAUGACUAUGUAACUUUCCUUAACUCUGCGUCACAGUCCUACCUCGAUAGGCGGGAAUGUGAAAGUUCUCAAAGCGGAAUUUAUUUUUUCGGGUUGGGGACCGAAAAACUUAAUCAUAAAGUAACAGACUACAAAAAACAAAAAAAAA